ensembl:lncRNA uncharacterized LOC110088241
UAUGUACAAGGGAAAACAUGCAAGGGUGGUUUCCCCCUCCCUCUGGCAGGUUAUCUUUCACAUGCUAGAUUUUGGAACUAGUGCUCUACCGGUCACAUGAAGGAAAAACUGUAGAGAAGCAGGCAAGUUUGUACAAUUGCCCUUCCAUGAUCACAUGAGCCAACAGGAUUCUGUCCCAGCUUUCCAUUCUAUCUCUAUGGUUGCAAUAGCUCAGGCUUUGAAACGUGUGUGGGCGGGUUUGCUCCAUACCUGUCCUGCUGUUACUAUGGUGAUGGCACUCUAUCCAUGACUGACCCACCUCAGAGGGAUGAGGAGGGAAGAUGGCAGUGGCGCGAGGCUCCAUCCAGCACCACCAGAAUGAACCAGGUCAGGAAGCCAUGGAUCCUUCAACCACUUCAGCCACUGCCUUGACCAAGCCACCCAGCUUCCAUUCUCCACUCCAGUCUGCCAGAGAGGUCAAACCCAUCAUUCCUUCAGCAUUCUUGGCUUCUGUAGCAAGCAUUCAAGCUCAAGCACAGAAACAUUUGUUCGCCGCUAUAACCUGCGAACGGGCCAAGCGCUGGUUUCAGGCAAUUGAACAUUAUAGAAAGCUAUUAAUUUCCUUGAGCCAAAAGAAGUUUCCAUCGCAAUAUGUACCUGGUCCUGAAUGUACCAAGCUGGUGUUUGAAACCUAUUAUCACAUAGGUGUCGCUUUCCAGAAAGUAGAUUACCACCGUGAUGCUUCAGAGGAGUUUACAAAUGCAAUAGAAACUGGAAACCCUUCCAAAGUUGGCUGCAACAUGGCCUGUGCUUCCAUUCCUUUCUACCAGACACCUGCAUAUGCAAGGAGAGCUUAUGCGUAUGUGAAAUGUGACAAAAUUAAAGAAGCCAUAGGUGACGCUACGAGAGCUGUGUAUUUAGACCCUUCAAAUCCUGAUGUGUACUGUGUCAGAGCUCUUGUAUGGAGCUCAGCAAAAGAAAAAAGAAGAGCCCUUCUUGAUUUGAACCUGAGUUUCAGGAUAAAUCCAUCUCACGUGUGCACUUUAAUCUUAAGAGGGGCCAUUUUAAAAUCGCUUGGUGGAUUGUCUGGUUCAGAUCAAAAUAAAGAUCAUAAAAUGGCCUCUCAACUCUGCAGGGAGAGUAUUAAUUACUUUGACGUGGAAGAUUUUCAUAGUCCUAAAAUGCCCUCUUUCUAUGACAAAUUCCUGUGGUCUCUAAAUGCAUUCCACACAAUAACAGAAAUCAACCUGUUUGCUGGAGCAUCAUUCAUGCCCAAGUCAAAACAAUCAAGUAUGAUUCAGAAAGACACCAGGAAACCAUUUAGAUGUGGGUGUGUACCACCAUAUUCUAGCAACAGCAGCGAGAGCAGCAACAGCAGCUUGUUAUUAUGGAGGAAAAUAUCUGCAAGAUCAGGCGUGGGGUCAGCCACAGGAGUUAAUGUGAAGACUCAAGUUCAUCAGUAGCAUCUUCUGGAGGUGAAGGCUUAAAGACUUCUGAAGUAACCAUGGCCAGAAAGUAUGUGAAAAAAAGACAGCAGUCCUCAGCAAGCUCAAACUAGUGAUAAAAGGAUCAAGUGCAGAAAUAGACUGGAAUCAAAUUCAACAGCAGCCUGGUGGUCUUGUAUAACAUGAGGUGCAAUAUAAUGUCUGUGAUUGGCACAGUGCUAGGCAAUAAAAAGCAGCAAAAAAUAGAGAGUAUCCUGAUC